CUUGUCCAGUGAUUUUUUAUUACCUACAUUGUUUGACAAAUUCUUGAUAAGAAAAACUUUCUGAGGACAAU